AAGAAGAGCUGCUGUACAGUUUUUCCAAUUCGAAAAAGAAAAGGAGCUGAAAACGUUUUCUGACACGGAACAAUGGCACAACAGAACCAGUCACAUUUCACCAUAAAGGCAGAGAAUAUAAAAACAACUUUGAUAACAUUGAUUAAAUAUCCAAAUGAAUCCAAGUGCCCUCUUUGUAAAAAGCACAGAGACUACAGCAUCCUGCUACGUCACCUUCAGAGUCAUGAAGGCCACAUUGUCAAGUAUGCAGGUUUCCAAAGGACCAUUUUGUGGUGUCUCUGUAUUUCAUCCUCGAGGCCCCCUUCAAUUUUAAUGAGUUGUGUC